GACGAACGCUGGCGGCGUGCCUAACACAUGCAAGUCGAACGGAGAUUUUAGCAAUAAAAUCUUAGUGGCGAACGGGUGAGUAACGCGUAGACAACCUGCCUUCUAGAUGGGGACAACACUGCGAAAGUGGUGCUAAUACCGAAUGUUGUAAUUGGAAUGCAUGUUCUGAUUACUAAAGGUGGCCUCUAUUUAUAAGCUAUCGCUAGAAGAUGGGUCUGCGUCUGAUUAGCUAGUUGGUGAGGUAAUGACUCACCAAGGCGACGAUCAGUAGCCGGUCUGAGAGGAUGAACGGCCACACUGGGACUGAGACACGGCCCAGACUCCUACGGGAGGCAGCAGUGGGGAAUCUUCCGCAAUGGACGAAAGUCUGACGGAGCAACGCCGCGUGAGUGAAGAAGGUUUUCGGAUCGUAAAGCUCUGUUUUCAGGGACGAAUGUGCUGAUUGUAAAUAAUGGUUGGUAAUGACGGUACCUGACAAGAAAGCCACGGCUAACUACGUGCCAGCCGCCGCCGUAAGAC
rnacentral:rRNA from 1 species